rnacentral:misc_RNA from 1 species
GCCGUUGCCGUGGUUCGAGGACGGCUACAUCGUGGCGCUCGUCGAGCUGGAUGAAGGCGCGCGGCUCGUAACCAACCUCGUCGGCGUCGAGCCAGAGGCCGUGUCGAUCGGCAUGCCGGUCGUGGUGCGUUUCGAGGAAUUCGACGGCGGGCUCGUCCUGCCGCUGUUCACGCCGGCGGAGGGAGCAUGACGAGGGCACGCACAACACUCGGCUGGCACACCGUCAGCAUCGGUGACGAGCUGCCGACGAUGGUCAUCGACGUGACCGCCACCCGCAUCGUGGCGGGCGCGAUCGCGUCGCGCGAUUUCAUGCCGGUGCACCACGACCGCCAGUACGCGAACAGCCAGGGCGCACCCGACAUCUUCAUGAACAUCCUCUCCGACA